CGUAGGGAGCGAGCGUUGUCCGGAUUUAUUGGGCGUAAAGAGCUCGUAGGCGGCUUGUCGCGUCGAAUGUGAAAACUCGGGGCUCAACUCCGAGCUUGCAUUCGAUACGGGCAGGCUAGAGUUCGGUAGGGGAGACUGGAAUUCCUGGUGUAGCGGUGAAAUGUGUAGAGAUCGGGAGGAACACCGGUGGCGAAGGCGGGUCUCUGGGCAAUUCCUGACGCUGAGGCGCGAAAGCGUGGGGAGCAAACGGG
rnacentral:rRNA from 1 species